rnacentral:rRNA from 1 species
UACGGGGGGGGGCAAGCGUUGUUCGGAAUUACUGGGCGUAAAGGGCUCGUAGGCGGCCAACUAAGUCGGACGUGAAAUCCCUCGGCUUAACCGGGGAACUGCGUCCGAUACUGGCAGGCUUGAAUCCGGGAGAGGGAUGCGGAAUUCCAGGUGUAGCGGUGAAAUGCGUAGAUAUCUGGAGGAACACCGGUGGCGAAGGCGGCAUCCUGGACCGGCAUUGACGCUGAAGCACGAAAGCGUGGGGAGCAAACAGG